rnacentral:rRNA from 1 species
UACGGAGGAUCCAAGCGUUAUCCGGAUUUAUUGGGUUUAAAGGGUGCGUAGGCGGAUUUGUAAGUCAGUGGUGAAAUCCUACAGCUUAACUGUAGAACUGCCAUAGAUACUGCAAGUCUUGAGUACAGUUGGCGUGGAUGGAACGUGUCAUGUAGCGGUGAAAUGCUUAGAUAUGACACAGAACACCGAUCGCGAAGGCAGUUCACGAAACUGUAACUGACGCUGAGGCACGAAAGCGUGGGGAUCAAACAGG